rnacentral:lncRNA from 1 species
ACUUCUUUCUUCUCCAUUUUCAGUGGAGUCCUCCAGUAGGCCCUCCUUAACAUAUAUUAUAAUGGGGGGAGUUGAUUAGACUUAGAACCAGCUGAUCUUUAUUCAUUAUUUUUAGGAACUCUAGACUCCUCAUCUGAGCAAGGCCAUGACGACAGAGAUAACAAAGACUCUGCAGAACUUUCUGGGAAAAUGCUACAAACCACAGAGCAAGAAGAUAAGUCCAGAGUCAUCAGGGAAGAUGAGGUUACUUUGACACGCACAGUAGGAGUACAGGAGGAAACUGUGACCUGUUCCAGAGAGGGCCGUGCAGCUUGCUAA